rnacentral:rRNA from 1 species
AGUGAACGCUGGCGGUAGGCCUAACACAUGCAAGUCGAACGGCAGCACAGUAAGAGCUUGCUCUUACGGGUGGCGAGUGGCGGACGGGUGGGGAAUACAUCGGAAUCUACUUUUUCGUGGGGGAUAACGUAGGGAAACUUACGCUAAUACCGCAUACGACCUACGGGUGAAAGCAGGGGAUCUUCGGACCUUGCGCGAUUGAAUGAGCCGAUGUCGGAUUAGCUAGUUGGCGGGGUAAAGGCCCACCAAGGCGACGAUCCGUAGCUGGUCUGAGAGGAUGAUCAGCCAAACUGGAACUGAGACACGGUCCAGACGCCUACGGGAGGCAGCAGUAGGGAAUAUUGGACAAUGGGCGCAAGCCUGAGCCAGCAAGACCGCGUGGGGGAAGAAGGCCUUCGGGUUGUAAAGCCCUUUUGUUGGGAAAGAAAAGCAGCAGGUUAAUACCCCGCUGUUCUGACGGUACCCAAAGAAUAAGCACCGGCUAACUUAGUG